UACGAAGGGGACUAGCGUUGUUCGGAAUCACUGGGCGUAAAGCGCACGUAGGCGGAUAUGUCAGUCAGGGGUGAAAUCCCGGGGCUCAACCUCGGAACUGCCCUUGAUACAGCAUAUCUUGAGUCCGAUAGAGGUGGGUGGAAUUCCUAGUGUAGAGGUGAAAAUUCGUAGAUAUUAGGAAGAACACCGGUGGCGAAGGCGGCCCACUGGAUCGGUACUGACGCUGAGGUGCGAAAGCGUGGGGAGCAAACAGG
rnacentral:rRNA from 1 species